rnacentral:lncRNA from 1 species
GGGACAGGCAAUGGCAUGUACAAGCUAGUAUUUUAUUUAAGAUGUUUUGCUACGGCACACGUACGACACAGGGCUAUGAUUUUUGCGACAUCUCUCUUUAACCUGGGUUAGUAGAACUGAUUUUUCACAGCUUCAAUCAUCUUAUUCCAUUCAAAAUAUCCAAUUAGUCCUCCCGCAUGUAAUUUUCAUACUAAAAAUUUUCUUAUGGAUGUCCGUGGGAUACACAGUCUAUUAUUUCUAAACAAGAAUCCAUCUUGAAAAACACAUUC